UAUUACCCAAGACAAUCACCUACCCAGGUCAUACUUAUUACCCAAGACAAUCACCUACCCAGGUCAUACUUAUUACCCAAGACAAUCACCUACCCAGGUCAUACUUAUUAAGUCGCUCUGGAUAAGAGCGUCUGCUAAAUGACUUAAAUGUAAAUGUAAAUGUAUUACCCAAGACCCAGGUCAUACUUAUUACCCAAGACAAUCACCUACCCAGGUCAUACUGAUUACCCAAGACCCAGGUCAUACUUAUUACCCAAGACCCAGGUCAUACUUAUUACCCAAGACAAUCACCUACCAGGUCAUACUUAUUACCCAAGACAAUCACCUACCCAGGUCAUACUUAUUACCCAAGACAAUCACCUACCCAGGUCAUACUUAUUACCCAAGACCUAGGUCAUACUUAUUACCCAAGACAAUCACCUACCCAGGUCAUACUUAUUACCCAAGACCCAGGUCAUACUUAUUACCCAAGACAAUCACCUACCCAGGUCAUACUUAUUACCCAAGAAAAUCACCUACCCAGGUCAUACUUAUUACCCAAGACAAUCACCUACCUAGGUCAUACUUAUUACCCAAGACCCAGGUCAUACUUAUUACCCAAGACAAUCACCUACCCAGGUCAUACUUAUUACCCAAGACAAUCACCUACCCAGGUCAUACUUAUUACCCAAGACCUAGGUCAUACUUAUUAUCCAAGACAAUCACCUACCCAGGUCAUACUUAUUACCCAAGACAAUCACCUACCCAGGUCAUACUUAUUA